rnacentral:lncRNA from 1 species
GCCGCGGCUCUCCGCCUCUUUGUCUGCUCUGGGACUUGGAACAAAAGGGGAAACUCUGAUGAACUCCUUCUCCAGCUCCCUGGACGCCCGAGUAUCUCUUUCUCGCAACUUUGUCAACGCGACUUUCUCCGCUGUCAGGCUGCGCAAAAGUAUCCUAGCGCCUCGCAGGCUGCAACAAUGGAAACAAUGUCCCUUCAAAGUGCGACGAAGUGGAGGGAGAAGGUGUCAUACCAGCGACUCCAAGAGUCAUGUCACCCACUUAGCAGGAGUACUUCUACUGAAAUGCCUUCGAAUUUCUCUUACUGGAUAUAUACCUACCAGCCGCUAGCAUGAAGAUGCCAGGACCGCUGCAAGUUAGCACUGGACAAAGUAGCAUCAACUUCUUCAUUUAGAGUUUCUUCAGUUAAAUUGCUGGGAUUUUCGACAAGGCUUUCCUUAUGUGGAUUAUUGGAGUGUGAUGCCCGAGAAUUCUCUACUUGUAGAAGCACGCCCACGGGACUGCAGAAGCCUUCACACCCACCCAGCACGCUCAGAUGGGAAUGAGUGAUGGCCAUCCAGUGACCAGCUGGAUCUGACUGCCUUACAAGACGCAUGUGUAUGAUUAAGAGAGAGACAUUCGUGACUCCCAGAUGUACCUCCUUCCUGUCCCACAGUGUUCCUGAAGGGAGUGAGUUAUGGGGUAACUUAUAACACAGCAGGCUCUUCCUCAAGAUAGCUCUUGUCAAAACAGGAAGACGAAACUCGGGUUUCCAUGAGGAGACCACAGCUUGGGAUCCUGUCUGGAUGUACAAGCAGAAGCAUCUUCAUACUUUUCCAUUUCUAACCAUCAUGCCUCACCCCACCCUCCCAAGGCGACAUCUGCAGAGAGGUGGAACCAUCUAGGGAGGCCUGCCACUGUUUGCUGAGCUCCGGGUGAGGAUGAAGACACUUUGACAUGGCCAGCUUCAGACUCGGGAUCUGUCGGUGUUAGCAGCCGAAGGUGAAACUUGGAAGCCCUCUCCAGGAUGCAGCAGGUAGCUGAGGAGAAAACGAAGACUGACCAGCCCAGAGCUCAGAGCUUCCUCCCAUGCUCAGGAUUUACCACCAAUGCCAUUACAUCGGCCUCUUCUUGUAUGCCUCUGGAAACCACAUGUGUCCUCUGUUUGUAAUGGUUUGGCUAUGGUUGCUGGCCCCUCUUGGACAUUGUUUUCAGAACUUAAAGAAACAUUGCUUUAAAGAUUUAUUAGAACAUAUUUAAAAUAAAACCAUCUUCUCAUUUAGUAU